GACGAACCGAGCGAACGUUGUUCGGAAUCACUGGGCUUAAAGGGCGCGUAGGCGGGCGAUCAAGUCGGUGGUGAAAUCCUACAGCUUAACUGUAGAACUGCCUCCGAUACUGGUUGUCUCGAGGAAGGUAGGGGCGUGCGGAACAGUUGGUGGAGCGGUGAAAUGCGUUGAUAUCAACUGGAACUCCGGUGGCGAAGGCGGCACGCUGGACCUUUUCUGACGCUGAGGCACGAAAGCCAGGGGAGCGAACGGG
rnacentral:rRNA from 1 species